UACGUAGGGUGCGAGCGUUGUCCGGAAUUACUGGGCGUAAAGAGCUCGUAGGCGGUUUGUCGCGUUGUUCGUGAAAACUCACAACUCAAUUGUGGGCGUGCGGGCGAUACGGGCAGACUGGAGUACUGCAGGGGAGACUGGAAUUCCUGGUGUAGCGGUGGAAUGCGCAGAUAUCAGGAGGAACACCGGUGGCGGAAGGCGGGUCUCUGGGCAGUAACUGACGCUGAGGAGCGAAAGCGUGGGGAGCGAACAGG
rnacentral:rRNA from 1 species